rnacentral:lncRNA from 1 species
AAGCUUGAGGGGGAGUGUUAACUUGAAGAGAAGAAGUGGAGAAGCAAAAGUGAUGAGUUGAGUUGGUGCUUGUGCAAAGACAUGGCAAGAUCUUCAGAGAUUGUAUGUUAAGGCUUUGGGAGAGUCUUAAGGCUUCAGAAGUGGUCUGAUGAGUGUGCAAAGAUAGGGUUAAGUCCAGGAGGGACUUAGACACCAUUUAGAGAAGAUUUGGGUCAGACAGUAACUCCAAAGUUACCACAGUAACUUUGGAGAGUUACCACAGUAAGAUUGGAGAAGUUUAGGCAAGUUGGUGUAAAAGUGAAUAGUGAAUCACUAGUCACUAUUCAGGUUAACUAGUCACUAUUCAGGUUAACUAUUCACCAAGGUUUGAAUCUAGUCAAAGGGAAUCAAGAAGAUGCUGUGUGGAGCUGAUUGGUUACUUUGGGGUAUGGACAGGCUGGCUGGAGCUGUAAAGAGGAAGGCAGCCACGACCAUGCACCUAGACUGAUCUGUGGACAGAUACAAAGGAGCCUAAGAAGAACCAAUCAAAGCUCAGCCUUGGUUUGAAUUAAAGUGAGCCAGCUUAGCUCAUCCAAUCAGCACACAUCACUCAGAUCACAACAAGACCAACUCAUCCUCACCAUCCAUUCCUCUUAAGUUAUUUCUAUCCACUAGAUAUAGGUUUAUGAGUUUGCAAGAGUGUAAAACCUAUAUAAAGACCUCAUGGGCGUUUGUAUGGGGGUUUUCCCCAUCUCCUUCAUAAAUAUAAAAGUGUGUUCUUGAUCAGAUUCCCUUAAUCUACCCCUUUCUUAGUCUCUAAUCUCUUAAUCUCUCUAAGUCUCUUUGUUUCUGAUUCAAGUUCAUACUAGUUUCAUCAGACCUCUUAUUCAACUAGUUCAAGACCUUAUUCUUUGCCUCUAAUGGCUUCUCAUACACAUACACAGCCAGAGCUCUCAAAUCUCAUAUGGUAUCAGAGCCAGGUUCAUCAGAACCUGAGCUGAGCUUCCGCAAGUCCACAGCUCUCAUCUCAGCUCAAACCAAACCCUUGAAGACAUUACCAGCCGAGUUCAGCUCUUGAAGAAGAAGAGACUUGAAGCCAUGGAGUGUUAUCCUGUCCCUCAAGCCAUUGUUGUCUGUACCUGAUGGAGAGAGUCUCAUUGGAAGCAAAGGAGGAUGGAGAGGCGUCAUGAACCUCAAGCCAAAACUCCUUGUCCAAGAGCUUGUUACAUCCUGCUACAAGAAAGAUGAAGUGAAGAGAAGCAGGCUUGAUAGUAUGGAGCAAGGAGGGGUCUUUGGGUGUGAGAAACAAGAAGGAGGCCAUGGACUAAAGGAGAAGGAGUUGGGUGACGACCUAGACUCUUGAAUCCAACCAUAUCAUGGCCAGAUUGCCUUUGGAGGCUUAAGGAACCAACCUGGUUCCUUGUGUAAGCGAUUCUUUAAAACCUUCUUGAUAAUGAGCUUGUGUUGUGUUAUUGCCUGGUUAGUGUGAUGUGUAUUGAUUGAAAAACCC